GAUGAAGAACGUAGCGAAAUGCGAUAAGUAGUGUGAAUUGCAGAAUUCAGUGAAUCAUCGAAUCUUUGAACGCACAUUGCGCCCCUUGGUAUUCCAAGGGGCAUGCCUGUUCGAGCAUCAUUUGUACCUUCAAGCUUUGCUUGGUGUUGGGUGUUUGUCCAUUCUCUUGCAGAGGGACUCGCCUUAAAGUAAUUGGCAGCCAGUGUUUUGGUUUUGAAGCGCAGCACAAGUCGCGAUUCAAAGCUAUACGCCCGCUUCCAUAAGCCUUUUUCACUUUUGACCUCGGAUCAGGUAGGGAUACCCGCUGAACUUAAGCAUAUCAAUAAGCGGAGGA
rnacentral:misc_RNA from 1 species